rnacentral:misc_RNA from 1 species
AACGCAUAUUGCACUUUCUGGUAUUCCGGAAAGUAUGCCUGUUUGAGGGUCAGUUAAAUAAAAAUCGGUGUUGUUGCUGCCUUUCGUGGUGACGCGUCGGAAUUGAGUUGUCUUACCUUCGGUUAAGUGACUUAAAAUUUUGUAUGAUUUUUGAACGUAUUUAAAUUUUAUUUGUACGUUUGAGAUAUCGAAUGUUUAUUAGGUUCGGUCAUUCUAAUGACCCGCGCCUAUAGUUUUUUCAUUAAAUGACCUCAAAUCAGGUAAGAAUACCCGCUGAACUUAA